rnacentral:rRNA from 1 species
UAGGGAAUCUUCGGCAAUGGACGGAAGUCUGACCGAGCAACGCCGCGUGAGUGAAGAAGGUUUUUCGGAUCGUAAAGCUCUGUUGUAAGAGAAGAACGAGUGUGAGAGUGGAAAGUUCACACUGUGACGGUAUCUUACCAGAAAGGGACGGCUAACUACGUGCCAGCAGCCGCGGUAAUACGUAGGUCCCGAGCGUUGUCCGGAUUUAUUGGGCGUAAAGCGAGCGCAGGCGGUUAGAUAAGUCUGAAGUUAAAGGCUGUGGCUUAACCAUAGUACGCUUUGGAAACUGUUUAACUUGAGUGCAAGAGGGGAGAGUGGAAUUCCAUGUGUAGCGGUGAAAUGCGUAGAUAUAUGGAGGAACACCGGUGGCGAAAGCGGCUCUCUGGCUUGUAACUGACGCUGAGGCUCGAAAGCGUGGGGAGCAAACAGGAUUAGAUACCCUGGUAGUCCACGCCGUAAACGAUGAGUGCUAGGUGUUAGACCCUUUCCGGGGUUUAGUGCCGCAGCUAACGCAUUAAGCACUCCGCCUGGGGAGUACGACCGCAAGGUUG